GCAUGCAUGCACACAUGUACAUACACACACCUACACAUACAUGCAUGCAUGCACAUGUAUAGAAUCUUGUACAUAAGCACACACACACACACACACACACAUACACACACACACCACUUCUAUUGCAGCCCUCUCCUCUCCGUGACCAACAUUUGGUUUUUUCAGUUUGUGGCAGAUUACUGUAACGCUAUUGUAAAACAACUUCCUGCCUCUUCUGGCUGCGGCUCCAGAAAGCUGAGAGGGAGAAAGUCAGACUCAGUCCACAGCACAAACUUUCCCCUCCCAUCUCAGAGAAGCUGGGGAGCAGCAGAGAAAAGAAAAGAGGAAAAAAAAAAACCGCCUUUAUCUCAAACUCGCGUUCUGGACUAUGCCAUUUUUUUACCAUUUAAAAAAAAAUAAACAGAAAACAAAAAUCAGCAUUUUAAAAACAUGCCAGGAAAAGGUGGAGGAGGGGGACUUCAUGCAAAAACUGAAAAGAGCGCCAGACCAGCACGCCAGAGCUCGGCGAGGUGGAGGAGACACGCUACGCUACGCUACGCGACGACCCCGUUGGCAGAUACGCAUGAUACCUGCGCUGUCCCUCAAGUCCGGAGGACUACCAGCGCUGACCUUCUUUUAUCUUCCGGCCUGCCAAUCAGAAACGAGACGCGGAGCGAGCGGACGCGGGCCGCACACGCCCUGUGCGUGUGCCACGUCACGGCUUCCACACGGAACGGGACUCCAGGACGAUUCACAAGAUGGCCGCGGCAACGCGCUAAAAUGGACCCCGUUACAGAAUGCAAAAUAACCUCCCAGUUCAGUGUAUUUAUAGGUAUAGGCUGCUUGUUGGGUGGUACAGAGGUAUAAACCAUACAAAAAAGCAGGUGGGCAGCCCAUAUUAAAUAUGAAAUACAUACAUAAAUACUGCCCAACCCUGAGUCCCACACAGGACAGGGAAGUUCCCCCACCAGCCCCUCAACACCGAUAUCUGUACCUACCCCUAACCUUAACCCUAACCCGAACCCAGAGACACCCCCAAACCUGAGCCAGCAUGCACCAUGAGUCACACAGAUACACAGGAUAAUUAUUAUUAAUUAAUAUUCAUCGAUGGUAAAAAAAAAAAAUGUAGCAACCACCAAAUGACCAGAAAUAAACCCACACAUCACACAGUUCUGUUCCCGUAUUAACCAGACGUGUUCAACAAGUUUAACCUUCAAAAGCACAUCCAUAAUUUUAUUUUUCCUCAAAAUGUUCAUGAAUUUUAGAUAACAGCCUGAAAAGGCGGUGCAUUGUGAAUACAAACAGAAGAAGCCAAGAGAACAAUUAAGUUAGCAAUCAUUUGCCCACUAUAAUUCAGUUUAAUAAAUCAUAGCUGUUCAUUGCUUUUAAAAACAAUCGACUGAUUUUGACACGGUGAAAAUCCCUCCCCUUGCCGAUGAGGCAUCCAUUUUAAUUAAAUGAAUGUCAUCGGUGGGCAAAAUGGAACCUUACAUUUUCACAGUAAUAGUAAACUCUGAGGAGAGAACGUAGCUCGCAACGAAGGUUGGCCUUGUUGAAUGCCCGCCACGUCACGUCAAUUCAACGCCGCGGCAAAGCUACCUCAGAAGGCUCAGCUGCGCAGAGACAUAGUCGUAAAUAACAGCAUUAAACUACUAAAAAUAAACGACAUCACGUUCAAAAAUGCACAAACUAUUUUUUCGCACAGCUGAAGCAAGGUCUUGUCAAAGCAACUCAGGGAAUUAUUAAAACGGAAAUAGAACCGUAGCCUUCAUCAGCUACCUUCCUGAGUAGAUGCAGUGUAAAGUAAAUCCGUACUGGGAGGCUGGCUCUCAACCCUGACGUGACUCUCCUCGUGUGGACAGAGGGGUGCGAUUCCCUGCCAUGGUACUUUCUGCACUGUGAUCCCUCUCUCUCUCUGCUUCCCCUCUGUCCGAAUAAACAGAAAAACACAUGAGGAGGGUAGACCCCGUUCUUCCAAAAGGGGAAACUCUCAGGAGUACGAAGUCACCUAUUACCAACCCCCACCCCCACCCCCCACCCCCCCUCACAUUGGCACCACAGCUUAUCCCUUUAUUUCAUAAGACAGUGCUGAUACACGCUUGUUAGUCAGGGGGCUUUUACCCGCCGAGACUGAAACUCCUCAAGUCGAAGCGGAGACGUACCGUUCAGUCUCUGCUACACGGCAACACAGCCAGGGUCAGCGCUUUCAGUUACUCAGCAGAAUAAAAACCACUGGAGUCACUGGAGACUCCGAUCAACUGCUGGCGUGAAAGAUGACCAAAGAUAACUGGCCAAACGAACAGACAAAUGGGUGCAAAACAGGAAUAAUCCGUACUGAUUACGCACACUACAUAAAUGGCUCAUCCAUACACUACACAAAAAUGCUCGAGACACACACACACACACACACACUCACACACACAAACUCACACACACACACACACACACACACACACACAAACUCACACACACACACACUCACACACACACACACACACACACACACACUAGACAGACACAGCACUGCGCAGCACAGACCGCAUCACGAUCGUCACCCACCCGCGUGGCGAGCCUGGGCCGGAGAGUGCAGUCGGCGCGUCGGCCCAUUGCGUUUUAUCUUUCCCGUUUAAUUGCUGUCCUGAUUGCGUUUCCUUCGGAGAAGGCCUCGGUCUUUAUCAGGAAAACGCUGAGGACAGCAAUUUACUCUACUGCCCCCGGUGUCUGACUGCGGUACCACGCCCCCGUUCAGCCAGCUCCCUCACAAAAAAAAUCUGUCGAGCCCUGGCACCUGGCCACCGAUUUAAAAAUAAACCGGGAUAAUUUGGCUGCGCUCUGCUCCACAUAUUUCAGAUACAAAAUUCAGAUACAUAUUUGAAAUACACAUUUCAGACACAUAUUUGACAUACGCACUUCAAAUGCAUAUUUGAAAUGCACAUGUCAGAUACAUGCGUCUCUCGUGUCUCUUGUAUUUGAAAUUCUGUCCAUGCUGCCAGUUGGGAGUGAUCAGGAAUGGGUGGGGUGGGGUGGGGUGGGGUGGGGGGGGGGGAGCCAGACAGCCGUCCCGUCCGGACACGCCUUUGCCCCCGCCAUCGGCUGAGAGACGGACAGAGUGUGCCAAGCAAGUGCCCCCCCCCCCGCCAGUCACAUAUUCAUCAAGUACAGACACUAAGGGAGGGGGGGUAUCACGGGCGGGGGAGACAAAAACAAAAAGAGGGGAACGAGGGAGGGGAGAGAAAGAACCAUUACGCAGAAAAAAAACAAGGGCACAGAAAGAAGAGAGGCGUUUGAGUCCACCUUUCAACUGCCGGAGUCCCCAAGGGGUCCGCCCCGCUCCAUGAUGCUGCCUUUUUUUUUUUUUUUUGCACAUAGUUUUUUUAUUUAUUUUUAAAUUUGAAUUGAGUAUCGCGGAGACAGGCGGUUGGUCGAGGGCGAGGCGGGGGGGCGGGCCGGGGGGGGGGGGGGGCCCUGGCCUGAGGAAACGGCCGCGGCCCUGGCCGUCACCCACGCUCGGCACAGCCACAAACGGCCGCUCCCCUGGCAGCGCGCGCAGAUAAGGAGUCUAAUCUGCUCCCCGGAUUUUGGCCCUCGCGGAAAAGGGGGAGGGGCGAGGUGGGGCGGGGCCGGACUGGCACGGCACGGUCAGCCCAAACUCGCUCGCUCGCUCACCCGGACGCAGCGCCCCUCGUGGCAGACUGCAGCACAGAGGAAUCAUGGGAAAGGACAAUAACGCUGACCUUUUUAAAGAACGUACUCCUCGUCCGGUGCUAGCGUAGCCGACAUAAUGAGAUGAGAUCAUCUCUGAGGAGUGUAAAAGACGCGCACCCAGCUGUCGAUGAGGGGCACAUCGACAGAGGAUUAAACGGAAACAGAAAAAAAAAUGCACACUCUGUUUGAUCCUUUAUUUAACAAAACAAAAGCAAACUUGUGAAACGUACGCCUCCGUCAGAGUCUACAACAUCACAGCCAAUCCACUAGAGCUGACUAAACAGACUGCAUUUUAUGAAAGGAAUUAUUUGAUGUCCGAACUGUUUGAUGUGUUCAGUGACUGAUCAAACCGAUCGAACGUCACGUCCCUGGGGGCAGCGUCAGCACACACUUCUGUACUGCCCCUCAAGUAGAACCUUCUGCCCUCAGCUAGCAUCUCCUGCCCCGAAUCGUCUGCCCCUCAGCUAGAACCUUCUGCCUUUCCACAGAUCCACAGAUUACCAACAGACCCUUACAUUUGACAAAAAUCUUUUCUUUUUUUUCUCUGUGGAGACCUUUUUAAAGACAGAAGAACUUCCCUGUCCUUAUGACACAAACUUUAUGGGCCAGAGUGUUAUUAUAAAAUGUUUCAAAUAAUGAAUACCCCAGGCCCAGGAAAGGAAUAUAGAGAGUCUGUGAUUAAGGAGACGUUGUGGAGAGCUACACAGAUCCACCGUAGGAUUAAUUACAGGGACCCGUCACACACACUCUCUCUCUCUCUCUCUCUCUCUCUCACACACACACACACACACGCACACACACUCGCACGCAGACACAGACAUGCACACACACGCGCACACACGCACACACACACUCUCUCUCUCUCUCUCUCUCUCUCUCUCACACACACACACACACACACACACUCGCAUGCAGACACAGACAUGCACACACAUGCGCACACACACACACACUCUCUCUCUCUCUCACACACACACACACACACACACACACUCUCUCUCUCUCUCUCUCUCUCUCUCUCACACACACACACACACACGCACACACACACUCGCACGCACACACAGACAUGCACACACACGCGCACACACACACACGCAGCGCUCCCGAAUUCUGCCCCGGUUCGUGCCCGUGUCUCAGUCUGGCACAGACAGACUGGCACUCGACUCCGAGUGAGACCGUAAUGAGCAGCUGGCACCGAUCCCCUCUCGCCACCAUUUUAUAUCCCGGCUACCAACAAAGGUAUUACAGCCCCGCAACCGCCAUAUAUUCACUACUGAGAGAGAGAGAGAGAGAAGGAGAGAGAGAGAGGACAAAGGAGUGUGUGUGAGAGAGGGAAAGACAGAAAGGGACGGAGAGAGAUUUGAGAGGGGGAAGACAGAGGGAGAGUAAAAAAAGAGGAGUCCUGCAUAAUGAGGUGCCUGAAGAAGGGAGAGAAGAAACAAUGAGAGAGUGAGAGAAAGAAAGAUAGAGGAAGAGAGAGAGAAAGUUAGUUCUUCAGGAUGUUAAGAUUUUUUAUUCCCCCCCAGUCUGAUACCAUUGCCCUGUAAGCCUUUGUGACUGGAAGAAAUGCAAAUAGCGUUGACCUGCUCACAUGCAGUACACUUCAGGCUAUUGAAAUGAGUUCCCUCCUCCCCCUGCAACAGCGCCCCCUGCUGCCAGCAGCAUCCACAGCCAGAGACGACAGCAUGAUGUCUGAGAUCCAGCCCCCCGCCCUGAACCCAGAAUCAACAUACUCCAUGUCUUCCUCCGAGACAUCCUCCUGUCUCUCCCCCAACCCAAUAUCACUCAACACCCCCUCUUACUUUGAAUGGACUGUAUCAGUGUUUUUGUAAAUAUGCCAUUUAUUGCAUUUUCAUCAUGUUUUAGUGUAUUUUAUCAGGAGACCUUUAACUGUAACUCUUCUUCUAAUACUCCAUCUCAUUUAUUUUCCCCCCUCCUUCUUAUUCUUCUAAUUACUUAUUAUUAUUAUUAUUAUUAUCAUUAUUAAUAUUAUUAUUAUUAUUAUUAUUAUUAUUAUUAUUAUUGACACACAAUUAAAAACGGAUUAAAUGGUU